rnacentral:tRNA from 1 species
GCCUUCGUGGUGUAAAGGUUAGCACGCUCGACGUGUAUUCGAGAAGUCCGUGGUUCGACUCCCGGCAAGGGCA